rnacentral:rRNA from 1 species
CGGCCUUGUGCCGCAGCCUACACAUGCAGUCGAGCGGUAACAGAUGCGCAUGGCUUGCUAGCGCAUGCUGACGAGCGGCGGACGGGUGAGUAAUGCAUAGGAAUCUACCCAGUAGUGGGGGAUAACCUGGGGAAACCCAGGCUAAUACCGCAUACGUCCUACGGGAGAAAGGGGGCUUUGGCUCCCGCUAUCGGAUGAGCCUAUGCCGGAUUAGCUGGUUGGUGAGGUAACGGCUCACCAAGGCGACGAUCCGUAGCUGGUCUGAGAGGAUGAUCAGCCACAUCGGGACUGAGACACGGCCCGAACUCCUACGGGAGGCAGCAGUGGGGAAUAUUGGACAAUGGGGGCAACCCUGAUCCAGCCAUGCCGCGUGUGUGAAGAAGGCCCUCGGGUUGUAAAGCACUUUCAGCGAGGAAGAACGCCUAUCGGUUAAUACCCGUUAGGAAAGACAUCACUCGCAGAAGAAGCACCGGCUAACUCCGUGCCAGCAGCCGCGGUAAUACGGAGGGUGCAAGCGUUAAUCGGAAUUACUGGGCGUAAAGCGCGCGUAGGUGGCUUGAUAAGCCGGUUGUGAAAGCCCCGGGCUCAACCUGGGAACGGCAUCCGGAACUAUCAGGCUAGAGUGCAGGAGAGGAAGGUAGAAUUCCCGGUGUAGCGGUGAAAUGCGUAGAGAUCGGGAGGAAUACCAGUGGCGAAGGCGGCCUUCUGGACUGACACUGACACUGAGGUGCGAAAGCGUGGGUAGCAAACAGGAUUAGAUACCCUGGUAGUCCACGCCGUAAACGAUGUCGACCAGCCGUUGGGUGCCUAGCGCACUUUGUGGCGAAGUUAACGCGAUAAGUCGACCGCCUGGGGAGUACGGCCGCAAGGUUAAAACUCAAAUGAAUUGACGGGGGCCCGCACAAGCGGUGGAGCAUGUGGUUUAUUUCGAUGCAACGCGAAGAACCUUACCUACCCUUGGACAUCUUACAGAAGCCGAGAGAGAUCUUUGGUGUGCCUUCGGGAACUGUUAAGACAGGUGGCUUGCAUGGGCUGUCGUCACUUCGUGGUGGUGAAA